UGUACUCCACUUCAUUGGUGCCCUGUGCUCACACCCAACUUCUCUUCCCCUGUGAAAUCAAGUCCCAGUGUGACUGCAAGGAUAAGAGCAGGCCUGUUGCAUGGAGAGAGCACCUGGAGAGAAUUCAUCAUUUCAACUUGGGGAAACUGGAAUUGACAAAUCAACAAAAUCCCUGAAAUUUAAGGUUUGUUAAACCUGUUUUAAUCCUUUUUGGUUCCUGAGGAGGAGUGAAACAGC